UACAGAGACUGCAAGCGUUAUUCGGAUUCACUGGGCGUAAAGGGCGCGUAGGCGGCCAGCACAAGUCAGUUGUGAAAUCUCCGAGCUUAACUCGGAAAGGUCAACUGAUACUGUGCGGCUAGAGUGCGGAAGGGGCAACUGGAAUUCUUGGUGUAGCGGUGAAAUGCGUAGAUAUCAAGAGGAACACCUGCGGCGAAGGCGGGUUGCUGGGCCGACACUGACGCUGAGGCGCGAAAGCCAGGGGAGCGAACGGG
rnacentral:rRNA from 1 species